rnacentral:rRNA from 1 species
AGCUCGUGCCGUGAGGUGUUGGGUUAAGUCCCGCAACGAGCGCAACCCUUGUCGUUAGUUACCAANCACGGUAAUGGUGGGGACUCUAAUGAGACUGCCUAGGUUAACUAGGAGGAAGGUGAGGAUGACGUCAAGUCCGCAUGGCCUUUAUGUCUGGGGCUACACACGUGCUACAAUGGUCGGUACAGAAGGCAGCGAAGCCGAAAGGUGGAGCAAAUCCCAAAAACCGAUCUCAGUUCGGAUAGAAGUCUGCAACUCGACUUCUUGAAGUUGGAAUUGCUAGUAAUGACGUGUCAGCAAUAACGUCGUGAAUACGUUCCCGGGCCUUGUACACACCGCCCGU